UCGGGUUGGGAGAUCCCGAGCCUGAGGCGAGCGUGGGCGGCACACACCUUCCCUUCCACUUUCAUCACCCCAGGGGUCAGGGAUCCGUCAAGGGCCAACGGAUGUUUCCUCCUUCCUCUGUAGCAGUCCCAGAGUCCUGACAUUGCCUAGCCAGAGUUUCUCGCGUCUGCCAGAGCAGCCGCUCCUCUAUCCAGGGCACUCAGAUUCCCAAGGAAACCCCCCUGAGGAGUUAGCAACCACCUACUAGUAGGUUUCGGUCCCAGGAUACUAAAGGUCAGGUAAAAAUGGGGAAAUGGGGGGAGGGUGUCUCUGAAAAGUACGUUGAUAAAACACCUAUUGUUGACUGAGUGUAUAUUACAUUGGAUUAAUGGAAUACGGCCUACUUAAACCUGGCUAUGGUUCCACCAUUAGUGGCUGUUGGCAAGCUGCCUCUGAAAAAUGAGGAUAAUAAAGGUUGAUUACUGCUCAGGGUUGCUCUGAGGUUUAAAUGCUAUAAUGCAUGUGAAAUGCUUAGUAUGGUACCUGAAAGUACUCAGUGUUAGAUAUUAUUACAUGGACAAAUGAAGUAAAAAAUAUGACCCGAAAAGACUUCAGGUCAACUUUCCUGAAUUGUGCAGAAAUAGGCAUCAAUCGCUUUUACUAACCAGGUUUACAGCUCUAUAUCCUGUCUCCACUUCUUCCAUUGUACUCAAUCAACAGAUUCACUGAAACUCGAACUGAGGGGACACAGUGGUGAGGGAAACAAACUGUCUGGCUUCUUGGGGCUGACAGUCUAGUGGGAAAAAGAGGGACAAAUAUUUCAUCACAUUUUCAGGGAAGCAUGCUAUAAAGGUUAUGAACAAAAUUUUGGAAAAGCAGAUACCAGGAUAGCUUUGAAAAAACUGGUCAGGAAAGGCCCAUCCGAGGGAUAAGGAGCCAAUAAUGAAAGAAAUGCCCUGGGGAAUUAUUUAAGAUAGAGGAAAUGGCUGUGCAAAGGACCUGUGGUAGGAAAGAACUUGGCUGUUGGAAUUGAGGGGAGUCUAUGGUGCAAGGAGGAGCCUGUCCUGAGAUUGGAGAGAUUGCUUCAGAGCUGCUGUCUCCUGGGCUUGGACAACGUGUCAGCAUCCGUCUUUGUCAUCACAAUCCCGGUGUUGCCCUGGGUGCUGGGUGCCUUGCAGAGCCAGCAGGCCAGCCCCAGGCAUGCCCUCUGGGUAUUUUGGCAGAAGACUGAAGGGGAACUAGAGAGACUGUUCAGAAUUAGACAAUAAAGAUAAAAGAGGGGCAGAAUCAGGCAAAGUGUUUUCAUUGGAAUCUUCCACUUUUAUGCUGAGAAGCAGGCAAGGCAAAAACUCUGGAUUCAGUUUGCAGGUGAGGAAACAGAGACCCAGAGAAAAGACACUAAUUGCCGGAAAACAUUCAGUGAUCAUGUGACAUUUGUCCUGGUGUUGACCUAUUCACAGAAGCAGGUAACAAAAUUCUGUUCUCUAGAAAGCAACAAUUGUAAUCUCUGUCACCAGAGAAUCCCAUACAAGGCCCCCGCCCCUUGACUAAGAAGAAAUGUUUUUGUCCUGCUUUCUCAUCCUUUUUCCAGCUGAGUCUGUAAAUACCUGCUACUCAGACACUCAGAAUAUUUCAGUGGCUCCAGAUUUUAAUCUGACCUUUGCACAGCCAUUUGCCUAUACUGUCAUGCCUGUAAUUAUAUAACUGCUUUAUUUUAAUGCCUGUAAAUAGGAGCUCAGUCAUCUAAGAAAAGUUCAGGAAAAGCAGAACCAUAGAACUAAAACUCAGUAAAACCAUUUCCCAUCUUGUGCACAACCACGCCCCCUGUUGAUUGAGGCAUGCCAGUUUAAAACAAACAAAAAAAUUCUCAGAGUUCCCUAGCAUCCAUGAGGAUUCAGGUUCGAUCCCUGGUCUUGCUCAGUGGGUUGAGUAUGUGGCCUUGCCGUGAGCUGUGGUGUAGGUCGAAGAUGCAGCUUGGUUCCCGAGUUGCUGUGGCUGUGGUGUAGGUCGGCAGCCACAGCUCCGAUUUGACCCCUAGCCUGGGAACCUCCAUAUGCUGUGAGUGUGGCCCUAAAAAAAAAUACAAAAAAAAAAAAAAAUUCUCAAGUUCUUGUUGUGACUUCGAGGGUUAAGACCUGAUGUAGUGUCUGUGGGGAUGUGAGUUUGAUCCCUGGCUUUGCCAGUGGGCUAAGAAUCCAGUGCUGUGGUGCAGGUCAGAUCUGGUGUUGCCAUGGCUGUGCAUGAUUCGACCCCCAUCCUGGAAACUUCCAUAUGCCACAGGUCCAUCCAGCUGUAAAAAGAAAAAGAAAAAAAAAAUUUCUCUACAGCUUGAUUGAGGUAAAAUUGAUGUAUGAUAAAGUGCACUAUUUAAAGUGUACAGUUUAAUGAAUUUUAAUGUGUGUAUAUGCCUAUGAAACCACUACAGUCAAGAUCAGAGAUGGCUUUUCCAUCUCAGAGUCUAAAAGGGUGUGUGCUCCCAGUUCAAAACUAACUGGUAACAAAGUGAGACCUGGAGUUCCCGUCAUGGCUCAGCAGAAAUGAACCUGACUAGCAUCCAUGAGGCCACAGGUUCAAUUCCUGGCCUCGUUCAGUGGAUUAAGUAUCCGGUGUUGCCGUGAGCUGUGGUGUAGGUUGCAGAUGUGGCUUAGAUCUGGUGUUGCUGUGGCUGUGGCAUAGGCUGGCAGCUGUAGCUUCAAUUUGACCCCUAGCCUGGGAACCUCCAUAUGGCACAGGUGUGGCCCUAAAAGACUAAAAAAAAAGAAAGUGUGCCUUCCUCUUCUGAGUAACAAUACUGGCCCCUGCAGGGCCAUCUUUAUUUCAAUCUCUGUUAUCAUUGAAGAGGCAGCUCUCCAUUUGACCUCUAUGUGGCUUUUCCUUCUUGCCCACAGUUACAACAUUCUCUUUUCAGUUUCAGGUCCCUUUUUCUGCUAAAUCAUCCACUUCUUAUCUACAAGCCCCCUUUCAAUCUUAAAAAUGAACAAAAGCAAAACAAAAAAGUCAAUACUUCUUCCUGCCUCCUCCUCAUUCCUCCCUUCAGUCACUCAUGGCUCCCUCUCCUGCCCCCUAGUUAGUUCAUGGCCACACUUCCAGAAAUAGUUGCUCAUAUUCACUCUCUCCACAUCCUCACUUCCUCCUCUCCCUCAAAGCCACCCCGCCCCCUUGCUGCACAGAUACCUUUCUUGGCCAGGUCACUCACUAACCUCCCUGUUGUUGCUACAUCCCAUGAACCCAUCUCAGUCCUUAUCAUACUCUGACACCAUUGACCACUGUGUCCUUUGGUUGGUUGUUUUUACAAAAGUAACAGAUGCACUUUUUUUUUUUUUUUUUUAAGAGUCAAAUACUGAAUAAAAACAUUAAGACUCUCCCCCUGCCGCCCUACUGCAGACAGAGCCACUGUCACAAGAACCCUCAGCUACUAGACAGCCACCCCAGGUAGCUGCCCAAAGCAUAGCAUAGCCUCAGGAAGUCCCAGAAAUUAGUCCCUGUAGACUUCUAACUUGGGAAAAAUCUCUUACUUGCCCUAUCAUAAACACCAGAGAAGCUAAGAAAUGUUUAUAAACAAACACACAAAGAAAAAGAGAAGAAAGUGCAUAUAGUAACUCUCCAACUCUGGUUUCAAUAUGUCUUAAAGGUGACAUGGUGGCAGGGUCUGCAUGACUCAUCCCUGUCGGUCUCUCCAGGCAGGAAGCCUUUCUGGCCCUGGUUUUCCUGAUAGCAGCCCUUUGUUUUCCCCUUAUCCUUGGGAGAAUGAUAGGAAUGAAGAAUAUAGGGCCCCCGGGACCUUGUGAGGCUGACCUAGCAGCCAUCAAGGUUUAUAGUCUUGUAGACAAAUACACAAAAAUGGGUUUUUUAUGACCAGUGUUUUUUACCCAAGAUAAAGUACAAAGCAGGACAUAAGAAUCACCCACCCAAAUCUCACCAACCAGAAUAGCACCAUAACAGUUUUGGUGAGCAUAUUUAAAUGUGUCUCUAUUCUGUGUAUACACUUAGAGGUAUAUAUACAGUUUCACAUACAUGGGAUCAUGAUUUACAAGUUAUUCUGUAACUACUGUUUUCACUCGGAACAUGCAAUGGAUAGCUUUCCAGGUCAAUAACUAUAGACUAACACUGUGAUUGCUACUGCUCGCCUGCCAUUCAGAAUAUUUACGAGCCAUGAUUUACUCACCCAGCCUCUUAUUGUUGGGCAGUUAGGUGGUUCGCAUUUUUUGAUAUCAUAUACUACACAGUGAUAAACAUUCUGUGUUCAGCUUUUAGCUUUUGUACAAUUUUCUCCUCAGGCUAAUUUGUAGAAGUGGACUAGCUCCAUACAAUGGUGUGUACAUUUCACAUUUUGACACAGUUAGGCUAACUUCCUUCCAGAAAUGUUAUGCCAAUUUAUUUUCCCACCAACACUGAAUUUAAAAGCAUCUUUUCCCCGCGUGCGGCGUGUCUCGCCGCGCGUCCGGACCGGGGUCCGGUGCGGAGAGCCUUUUGACCUGGGAAACGGGGCGCGGCGGGAAAGCAAGGCCGCCCCCUCGGCCGCCCGUCACGCACCGCACAUUCGUGGGGAACCUGGUGCUAAACCGUUCGCAGACGACCUGCUUCUGGGUCGGGGUUUCCUACAUAGCAGAGCAGCUCCCUCGCUACGAUCUAUUGAAAGUCAGCUCUCGACACAAGGGUUUGUAAAACAAAAAAAAAAUAAAUAAAAAUAAAAAUAAAAA
rnacentral:lncRNA from 1 species